UAGGGAAUCUUCCACAAUGGACGCAAGUCUGAUGGAGCAACGCCGCGUCAGUGAAGAAGGUUUUCGGAUCGUAAAGCUCUGUUGUUGGUGAAGAAGGAUAGAGGUAGUAACUGGCCUUUAUUUGACGGUAAUCAACCAGAAAGUCACGGCUAACUACGUGCCAGCAGCCGCGGUAAUACGUAGGUGGCAAGCGUUGUCCGGAUUUAUUGGGCGUAAAGCGAGCGCAGGCGGAAGAAUAAGUCUGAUGUGAAAGCCCUCGGCUUAACCGAGGAACUGCAUCGGAAACUGUUUUUCUUGAGUGCAGAAGAGGAGAGUGGAAUUCCAUGUGUAGCGGUGGAAUGCGUAGAUAUAUGGAAGAACACCAGUGGCGAAGGCGACUCUCUGGUCUGCAACUGACGCUGAGGCUCGAAAGCAUGGGUAGCGAACAGG
rnacentral:rRNA from 1 species